CUACGGGUCGCUCCAGUAGGGAAUUUUCGACAAUGGGGGGAACCCUGAUCGAGCAAUGCCGCGUGAAUGAAGAAGGUCUUCGGACUGUAAAGUUCUUUUAUUGGAGAAGAAUGGUCACAUCAGGAAAUGGGAGUGAUUUGACGGUAUCCAUUGAAUAAGCCCCGGCUAACUACGUGCCAGCAGCCGCGGUAAUACGUAGGGGGCGAGCGUUAUCCGGAAUUAUUGGGCGUAAAGCGUGCGUAGGCGGUUUGUUAAGUCACUUGUAAAAGAUCUCAGCCCAACUGAGUAGGGCAAGUGAAACUGGCAGACUUGAAUACGGUAGAGGUAAGCGGAAUUCCAUGUGUAGCGGUGGAAUGCGUAGAUAUAUGGAGGAACACCAAUGGCGAAGGCAGCUUACUGGGCCGGAAUUGACGCUGAGGCACGAAAGCGUGGGGAGCAAACAGGAUUAGAUACCCCUGUAGUC
rnacentral:rRNA from 1 species